UGGAGGCAGCAGUGGGGAAUAUUGCACAAUGGGCGAAAGCCUGAUGCAGCAACGCCGCGUGAGGGACGAAGGCCUUCGGGUCGUAAACCUCUUUUCUGAGGGACGAGACAAGGACGGUACCUCAGGAAUAAGUCUCGGCUAACUACGUGCCAGCAGCCGCGGUAAAACGUAGGAGGCGAGCGUUAUCCGGAUUUACUGGGCGUAAAGCGUACGCAGGCGGCUUCGUUAGUCGGAUGUUAAAGCUCCUGGCUUAACUGGGAGAGGCCAUUCGAUACUGCGGGGCUUGAGGUUGGGAGAGGGGUAUGGAAUUCCCGGUGUAGUGGUGGAAUGCGUAGAUAUCGGGAGGAACACCAGUGGCGAAGGCGGUACCCUGGCCCACACCUGACGCUGAUGUACGAAAGCGUGGGUAGCAAACAGGAUUAGAUACCCUGGUAGU
rnacentral:rRNA from 1 species